ACGACCUCAACUCAAGCAAGACU
rnacentral:rRNA from 2 species